rnacentral:lncRNA from 1 species
UUCUGAUUAAAAUAUACAUCAACAAAAGCCAGGUCCUCACUGAGCUUGGUGAUGCAUCUGCAGUACUGUGGCCGCUCCCCGGGACUUGGCUGAGGUGGAGUGUGCUCCUAGAGCACAGCAAUGACCUCAGUGACCAGCUACCCCUGGGAGGAAAGAGCUGGAACCAGGAGGGUCUGAGGCUGCCUUUGCAGGGAUUCAAGGUCCUCUGAGCUUGGGGAGGUCUAGAGGCCACUAA